UACCAGGAAGGGAUUAUUGCGGCUGUCUGCUCAGCUGAAUGGCACCGUGGGUUAGAAGCUGAACUUUGUGUUAACCCAUACAGCCGUGUUCAAAAUAACAGCAGUGUGUUUAACAAGAAGUAAGGGGAAGGAAAUAUCGGGCUGCUUAGGAGAUAUCCGUGUCGGUAUGUUUCCUUACAACCGCAAACAUUUACUGUUUAAUAAACUGAAAAAAUGCUUGAAGAGUUUACUUUCCUGUGAAUCAUAAAAAUAAAUAUAUGUAGCUAGAACAGCUGUUUCAGAGAACUGCUACACAUCUGUGUUGGAGUCGACCAACUUGUGGCUCCUGUGAACUGGUACUCCAGCCCAGGAUAACUGGACUACAUUUCAGAAUACAUCAACAUUUCUUUAUUUUGCCUCAGUUUGGGGUCAAUGUGUUGUUGAAACAUCCAUUUAAUGGAAACUUUUCACAUCAGCGUAAGUAUUUGGAUGUAUAGGCAUGUUCAAUAAAUUAGAUUAUGUGUUCCGAUGAGGCUUGUUUGACAGAUUAAAAGUGUUUUUAAAAAUAACAACCGUUAAACUAGCAAAAGUUAAACACAGUUUUCACUAAGCACACAUUUCUGUAUUUAUUGAUUUGAUGUAAUAUAAUAUAAUCAGAAACUGGCUAUUAAAAGGGAGGGAGGUUUUGUGUCAAGAGGUUUAAAUCAAUAUAAAACACCCAUCAUCAGAACCAAAAUGAGAACCUUCUGCAGGUCUGUGUGGGGUUGAAGCUUUGGAACAAACAGUCUGAAUGUGCAGCUCAAGCACAACAGUUUAAAUCAAAACAUAAAGAUCAUAAAUGAAUAUUAUACUUAAAAUAUUGUUUAUCUGUAAAUAUAUCAUAUUUUUGGUAAAUAUGUGGAUAAUGUUGAAAAGAAAUACACAAGUAGAGCACAUAACUAGAAGUUUUCAUCAUGUAACUGGGAGCAGAUCAGUGUGAAAGUGUCUGGUAAACAGGUUGCGUCAUUAUAAGUUAGUACUUCCCCACACCCAAGAAAUAUGGACACAAAUUCUCAACACCACCUCACCAUUUUUCAUUUCUUGUCAUUUUUUCUUCUUUUUAAUAUCUUCUAUAUAUGCAGUUACAUAUUCAAAAUUAAAAUAAAAACUAAAUAGUCUUCUUUCA